rnacentral:rRNA from 1 species
AUACGUAGGGGGCGAGCGUUGUCCGGAAUGAUUGGGCGUAAAGGGCGCGUAGGCGGCGCGGUAAGUCUGGAGUGAAAGUCCUGCUUUCAAGGUGGGAAUUGCUUUGGAUACUGCUGCGCUUGAGUGCAGGAGAGGUUAUCGGAAUUCCUGGUGUAGCGGUGAAAUGCGUAGAUAUCAGGGGGAACACCGGUGGCGAAGGCGACUUACUGGGCUUUUACUGACGCUGAGGCUCGAAAGCGUGGGGAGCAAACAGGAUUAGAUACCCUGGUAGUCCACGCUGUAAACGAUGAUUACUAGGUGUGGGGGGACUGACCCCUUCCGUGCCGCAGUUAACACAAUAAGUAAUCCACCUGGGGAGUACGGCCGCAAGGUUGAAACUCAAAUGAAUUGACGGGG